rnacentral:lncRNA from 1 species
UCCAGUGUCCUGAAGUGCUCACUGCUGGCAGCCCUGGGCCGGGCUCAGCAAAAACCUCUUGUGUUCAGUGGCAGAGGAAGCACAAGCCCAAGUGGCUCUGCAGGGUCAGCGUGGCUGCGCCCCAGGUUUCCCUCCCCCUCGUCAUUUUCUGCCAAAAGAACUGGAGAGCUGUGGUCAAUGGCAUCGCUGAAGGACAUGUGGGCUGACAGACAGUUCACUGAACACAGUGAGUGAAGACUCCUGCCUGCAGCACAAGAAACUUGCAAAGCAAAGCUCUUCUCCACUGCUGAUGCUCGAUGGGAUCACCAGCAGAAGUGAGGGCUCUAAGAGACAGCAGCGUGGGCUUCCUCACACACGGCUGACUCCAGUGUACCCUGUGUCCUACCUGCCAGGAGCAGCUCUGCAGUUACAGGGGAACAUAAGAUUUAAAAGAAAAGAAAAACAAACCCAAACAAGACAAGUCUCCGUGUGGUCCUGACCCAGCGUGAGGAGUGAGUACACAUUGUUUAUGUGCUUUUGUCUCUGUGGGUUCACUGGAGGCUGGUGAUACCUGUGACUGUCCGUAGGUACAUCUUUGGGUAUGUUUGGUUCAACUACAGUGUACGUGUAGGAGAGACCACGCAAGACACACGGUCACAGUGACACUGAUGUUAUGACUGCCCACCUGCACUGGCAUUGACCUAGAGAGUCCGUUCCUGGUGGGGUUGGCACAGCUCUCUGGUGGGGUCACACACUAGUGGAGAGGUGAAGGAUGCUAAUCCGUCAUUGCUAGGGCAUUGCCAGCACUAUAGCAAUUUCUAGGAAGGAGGAGAACCAGAACAAUACAAAACCUGUCUGCAGAGCUGCCCAAUGAUUUGAAGACUUCAGAACACGCUAGCUCUAAUUAACGUGCUGGAAAGCUGUAAGCCAGCUCAGGGGAGUGUGGACUCCAGCACCUCCUAAAUUGGUCGAGGCAGGUUCUACCUAGUCUUUAAUUUGAUCUUUCUAGCAUGUAUUAAAAGCAGUCACACCUUGAUUACACUAGACUCUUCUGACACAUUAAUUCUGAAGGAUUAACUAACAAAGUUCAUCUGCCCAAGCUAAAAAAAGUGCUCUGUCUGUGCACACGUGUGUGUGUACACUUGUGGAUUAGGGGAGAGACCCAUGGCUCAUUGAUUCCUCUAUGGCAGUGUUUGACCUUGGGAUGGCACACCUACUGUUCUCUAUUUUUCAAUGGUCACUAAUUUUUAAAUUAUUUUAACCCAGCAAUAGAUUCCAGCCAUACCCAGCUUCUUAGAUAGUCAGUUUUUCAGUGCAUCUUUUUGUUCCUAUGGUUGUAGGAGGGGAGACAGGCAGGAAGUUGGGGAAGUGGAGUAGCAAAGAGUCAUCUACAAGUGUUGGGCCACAGCCAAGCUUUAGAUUAAUACAAUAUGA